rnacentral:misc_RNA from 1 species
GAAAUGCGAUAAGUAAUGUGAAUUGCAGAAUUCAGUGAAUCAUCGAAUCUUUGAACGCACAUUGCGCCCGCCAGUAUUCUGGCGGGCAUGCCUGUCCGAGCGUCAUUUCAACCAUCAAGCCCCCGGGCUUGUGUUGGGGACCUGCGGCUGCCCGCAGGCCCUGAAAACCAGUGGCGGGCUCGUUGUCACACCGAGCGUAGUAGCAAUCACCUCGCUCAGGGCGUGCUGCGGGUUCCGGCCGUUAAACAGCCUUACAAAACCCAAGGUUGACCUCGGAUCAGGUAGGAAGACCCGCUGAACUUAAGC